rnacentral:lncRNA from 11 species
GAAGAGGCACAGAGGGAAGAUGUCCAGGCAGUACCAGUCCUUGACUGCACUUGCUCUUCUGGAUAGCUAAUGAUCUACUGAAGAUCUGGGAGAUCAACUUCACUUCUCUUCUCCUGGCUGCAAACUUCAUCUGGGAGCUGUCAGGUUACUGCUCUCUUUUCCAUCUCUCCAGACAGUAAAUGGCCAUGGCAGACAACCCCAAUGCUUCAAAGAUGCCUUCUGGGAGCAGGAGAGAUACAAAUGUGUAUGCACAACUUCAAGAUGCAAGUUCUACUCCGUCUAGAAGUUACAAGGCAGUCCCAAACCACCCAUCGGCAUGUUGAGAGUUUAGUAGUUAGAGUGUUCCAAGAAGGGAGCAAUUAAGUGUGGGAUUGAUGUGAUUUCUUUGCUCUGCUAAAUGUAAGGCAACAAAAGCCGUGUUUUGAUCCUGUUACUUUAAGAGGACAUCUUUCCAGUGGAGACUGUGAGGCUUUCUGCUGUGAGUUUCAGCUGUUAUCCCUUGAGUGCUGAGUUAAGCCUUUGAAGAAGAUUGCAAGAGGCUGUUUCCUCUUUCAGGAAUCAGGCGG